CAAGCGGCGGAGCAUGCGGAUUAAUUCGAUGCAACGCGAAGAACCUUACCAAGGCUUGACAUAUACCGGAAACGGCCAGAGAUGGUCGCCUCCUUGUGGUCGGUAUACAGGUGGUGCAUGGUUGUCGUCAGCUCGUGUCGUGAGAUGUUGGGUUAAGUCCCGCAACGAGCGCAACCCUCGUUCUAUGUUGCCAGCGAUUCGGUCGGGGACUCAUAGGAGACUGCCGGGGUCAACUCGGAGGAAGGUGGGGAUGACGUCAAAUCAUCAUGCCCCUUAUGUCUUGGGCUUCACGCAUGCUACAAUGGCCGGUACAAAGGGCUGCGAUACCGUAAGGUGGAGCGAAUCCCAAAAAGCCGGUCUCAGUUCGGAUUGAGGUCUGCAACUCGACCUCAUGAAGUCGGAGUCGCUAGUAAUCGCAGAUCAGCAACGCUGCGGUGAAUACGUUCCCGGGCCUUGUGCACACC
rnacentral:rRNA from 1 species